GACGAACGCUGGCGGCGUGCCUAAAACAUGCAAGUCGAACGACCCUUCGGGGUAGUGGCGAACGGCGUAGUAAUACAUGAGAAACGUGCCCUUAAGACUGGGAUAUACCGAGGAAACCCGGAGCAAUACCAGAUGUGACGGAGUGGUGGCAUCACCAUUCCAUUAAACGGUUUUUCGCUUAAGGAGCGUCUCAUGGCCUAUCAGGUAGUUGGUGAGGUAAUGGCUCACCAAGCCGACGACGGGUAGCGGGUCUGAGAGGAUGAUCCGCACGAGUGGGACUGCGACACGGCCCACACACCUACGGGUGGCAGCAGUUGGGAAUCUUGCACAAUGGGGGAAACCCUGAUGCAGCGACGCCGCGUGGACGAUGAAGGCCUUAGGGUUG
rnacentral:rRNA from 1 species